rnacentral:lncRNA from 1 species
AAAAUGUCCAAGUACACGUGUAUGUGAAAAGAAAAGGCGAAGAGAUAAAAAAAAACACUUCUCCACGUACUCACAUAUCGAGCACACGCAGCUCAUCUCAUUUAUACUAUAGUCUAGGGGGAUAACAACUAUAUACUUAUGCAUGUACGUAGAAGUUUAACUACUGUGUCGGUGUGUGUAUCUUAGUGUCAAUAUUGACUAGUUUCUAUUUUCUCUAUUUUCUUAUGUAUCCGGCUCCACCGGUUGUAAUUUCUGUGCUGGUUCGUGUUUUACAGUUUCUGCAAAGAAACAGUAAUGAACCUACACAUGCCCAGUAAGUCAAAUUUAAAUUAAAAACAGCGUGUUGAAAUAAAUAAAAUUCCUAGAACGGAGUUCUCCCUUCCCAUGGUCUCUCCCUCUCCUGCCAGCCCGUAUCUUCACUCUACUAGUGUUCUAGGUUUUACGGACCUUCCUCAAAAUCUUUAUGGACCCCAGCCCUCUACACUCUUCUUCUCUAUUUCCUCUUUUUGCUCAUUUCUACUAUGUCCUCACUUCCCUAUGCGAAUAGCCUUCUUUUCUUUUUGUUUCUACAGUCCACGUUUGGCUUAUAAUAAUCCUAAAAUCUUUCUUUUCAUUUUUAUUUUUCUUUUUCUUUUUCUUUUGCUAGAAACCAACACCCCCCCCCAAAUGCUCCCUGUUGUUCCCAGUCUUACCUUUCUCUCUUUGAAUUCACCUUAAACAGCAUAUUUCUUUUUCCACUCUGUAAUCUAUGGUUUGCUUAGAUAUUGUUCCUUCCAUUCUUUUGGGACCCAGAAUUUUCCACUUCCCUCCUAUGGUAUUUCCAUACUUAGUUUGCCUUCAACCUGUAGACACCAGCAAUAAAUAGAGUCAUAUUUAUCAUGGAGCAAUUACACUAUCUUGUUCUUCGCAUACCUGCCAUUUCUUGGCUCUUCCUCCUCUAUCCCCUCCAUCUCAUGUGUAUACCAUUUUAUGUUCAGUGCCAAACACCAUUUUAUUUUUCUAGACGACGGUUAUCCGGCCACACACACACCCUAUUAUAACAUUCUGCUUGGUAGACGAUUUGUCCCAGUCAAGAUUUAAACAGCAGCAGAUUAGAAAUCCGGUGUCGCGCAGCUUUUUACCAACCGUUGGCCAACAUUUAUUUUCAAUGUGCAAUACCAUAAGGCAGGGAGAAGAAACAUCAGAUGUUAUGACUGGAGGUGGUAAAAUAUUCAGCCAUUAUUUGGCCACUCACACAACCCGGUGUCAUACACAUUUCGACUAACCGUUGGCCAUUCUUUUAUUCAAUAAUUUUAAAUAAUUUAUGUCAAGGCAAUAACAUUAAAACAGUAAGAAAAUCAGCAAGUGGUAUGGCAAGAAGCCGACCCAUAAUAGGCCAUACACAUACUCAUAACUACCUGCACAGCACACUUUGUUCAUACAAUCAUUGUACCAAAUUUCGAGAACCACAUAUGAGCCAUUUCCAUUUUUACGCUCCGUCUAACCAUCAUUCAGUCCCAUUUUCUUUUAGAUUUGCCAAUACUUCAGUACGGG